UACGAAGGGGGCUAGCGUUGCUCGGAAUCACUGGGCGUAAAGCGCCCGUAGGCGGGGUUCCAUGUCAGGGGUGAAAGCCUGGGGCUCAACUCCAGAAUUGCCUUUGAAACGGGGACGCUUGAGUCCGAGAGAGGAUGGCGGAAUUCCUAGUGUAGAGGUGAAAUUCGUAGGUAUUAGGAAGAACACCGGUGGCGAAGGCGGCCAUCUGGCUCGGUACUGACGCUCAGGUUCGAAAGCGUGGGGAGCAAACAGG
rnacentral:rRNA from 1 species